GAGUUUGAUCCUGGCUCAGGACGAACGCUGGCGGCGUGCCUAAUACAUGCAAGUCGAACGAACUCUGGUAUUGAUUGGUGCUUGCAUCAUGAUUUACAUUUGAGUGAGUGGCGAACUGGUGAGUAACACGUGGGAAACCUGCCCAGAAGCGGGGGAUAACACCUGGAAACAGAUGCUAAUACCGCAUAACAACUUGGACCGCAUGGUCCGAGUUUGAAAGAUGGCUUCGGCUAUCACUUUUGGAUGGUCCCGCGGCGUAUUAGCUAGAUGGUGGGGUAACGGCUCACCAUGGCAAUGAUACGUAGCCGACCUGAGAGGGUAAUCGGCCACAUUGGGACUGAGACACGGCCCAAACUCCUACGGGAGGCAGCAGUAGGGAAUCUUCCACAAUGGACGAAAGUCUGAUGGAGCAACGCCGCGUGAGUGAAGAAGGGUUUCGGCUCGUAAAACUCUGUUGUUAAAGAAGAACAUAUCUGAGAGUAACUGUUCAGGUAUUGACGGUAUUUAACCAGAAAGCCACGGCUAACUACGUGCCAGCAGCCGCGGUAAUACGUAGGUGGCAAGCGUUGUCCGGAUUUAUUGGGCGUAAAGCGAGCGCAGGCGGUUUUUUAAGUCUGAUGUGAAAGCCUUCGGCUCAACCGAAGAAGUGCAUCGGAAACUGGGAAACUUGAGUGCAGAAGAGGACAGUGGAACUCCAUGUGUAGCGGUGAAAUGCGUAGAUAUAUGGAAGAACACCAGUGGCGAAGGCGGCUGUCUGGUCUGUAACUGACGCUGAGGCUCGAAAGUAUGGGUAGCAAACAGGAUUAGAUACCCUGGUAGUCCAUACCGUAAACGAUGAAUGCUAAGUGUUGGAGGGUUUCCGCCCUUCAGUGCUGCAGCUAACGCAUUAAGCAUUCCGCCUGGGGAGUACGGCCGCAAGGCUGAAACUCAAAGGAAUUGACGGGGGCCCGCACAAGCGGUGGAGCAUGUGGUUUAAUUCGAAGCUACGCGAAGAACCUUACCAGGUCUUGACAUACUAUGCAAAUCUAAGAGAUUAGACGUUCCCUUCGGGGACAUGGAUACAGGUGGUGCAUGGUUGUCGUCAGCUCGUGUCGUGAGAUGUUGGGUUAAGUCCCGCAACGAGCGCAACCCUUAUUAUCAGUUGCCAGCAUUAAGUUGGGCACUCUGGUGAGACUGCCGGUGACAAACCGGAGGAAGGUGGGGAUGACGUCAAAUCAUCAUGCCCCUUAUGACCUGGGCUACACACGUGCUACAAUGGAUGGUACAACGAGUUGCGAACUCGCGAGAGUAAGCUAAUCUCUUAAAGCCAUUCUCAGUUCGGAUUGUAGGCUGCAACUCGCCUACAUGAAGUCGGAAUCGCUAGUAAUCGCGGAUCAGCAUGCCGCGGUGAAUACGUUCCCGGGCCUUGUACACACCGCCCGUCACACCAUGAGAGUUUGUAACACCCAAAGUCGGUGGGGUAACCUUUUAGGAACCGGCCGCCUAAGGUGGGACAGAUGAUUAGGGUGAAGUCGUAACAAGGUAGCCGUAG
rnacentral:rRNA from 1 species